GGAGUUAAUUAAGGAGUGAGGGGGAGGGAUGGGAGGACGAGGGUGUGGCAUCCUAAUGAGGUACGGUAAUUAGCGGUUAAUUACGGUUAAUUAGUGGUAAUUAGUGGUAAUUGGGGGAGGGGAGGGGGGUUAAUGGGGGUUAAUGGGGGUUAAUUGGGGGUUAAUUGGGGGUUAAUUAAGGAGGGGGGGGAGGGAUGGGAGGACGAGGGUGUGGCAUCCUAAUGAGGUACGGUAAUUAGCGGUUAAUUAGUGCUAAUUAGGGUUAAUUUGGGUUAAUAAGGGGAGGGGGGUGGAGGGGAGGGGGGUUAAUGGGGUUAAUUGGGGGUUAAUUGGGGGUUAAUUAAGGGGAGAGGGGGAGGGAUGGGAGGACGAGGGUGUGGCAUCCUAAUGAGGUACGGUAAUUAGCGGUUAAUUAGUGGUAAUUAGUGGUAAUUGGGGUUAGUUAGGGGGGGAGGGGGGUUAAUUGGGGUUAAUGGGGGUUAAUUGGGGGUUAAUUAAGGAGGAGGGGGGAGGGAUGGGAGGACGAGGGUGUGGCAUCCUAAUGAG
ensembl:lncRNA